rnacentral:rRNA from 1 species
CAGCAGCCGCGGUAACACGUAGGUGGCAAGCGCUAUCCGGAAUUAUUGGGCGUAAAGCGCGCGUAGGCGGUUUUUUAAGUCUGAUGUGAAAGCCCACGGCUCAACCGUGGAGGGUCAUUGGAAACUGGAAAACUUGAGUGCAGAAGAGGAAAGUGGGAUUCCAUGUGUAGCGGUGAAAUGCGCAGAGGUAUGGAGGAACACCAGUGGCGAAGGCGACUUUCUGGUCUGUAACUGACGCUGAUGUGCGAAAGCGUGGGGAUCAAACAGGAUUAGAUACCCCUGUAGUCCCUGUCUCUUAUAC